GGGUCAUCAGCUUGCCCUGCGGGGACUGGGCCAUGCGCUCUAUCGUGGGAAACAGCAGCACGGAGCGGAGGACCUGAAGUUCUGAUGCUCGCUUCAUCAUCUCCAGUGUGAUGUAGCAACCAAUAGAAUGAGCAAUCAGUACCAGCUUUAUAUCUUUUGAUACGUUCUUUUUAAGGAAGUUCAGCUUAUGUUCUACUUGUCCAUUAAGUCCAAACACAUCCUCCAGCUCCUUAAUAUCUGUGUCUUCUAUCAU
rnacentral:lncRNA from 1 species